AGCGAACGCUGGCGGCAGGCUUAACACAUGCAAGUCGAGCGGGGUUUUCGGACCUAGCGGCGGACGGGUGAGUAAUGCGUAGGAAGCUGCCCGAUAGAGGGGGAUACCAGUUGGAAACGACUGUUAAUACCGCAUAAUGUCUACGGACCAAAGUGUGGGACCUUCGGGCCACAUGCUAUCGGAUGCGCCUACGUGGGAUUAGCUAGUUGGUGAGGCAAUGGCUCACCAAGGCGACGAUCCCUAGCUGGUUUGAGAGGAUGAUCAGCCACACUGGAACUGAGACACGGUCCAGACGCCUACGGGAGGCAGCAGUUGGGAAUAUUGGACAAUGGGCGCAAGCCUGAUCCAGCCAUGCCGCGUGUGUGAAGAAGGCCUUCGGGUUGUAAAGCACUUUCAGUAGGGAGGAAGGGUGUUGUGUUAAUAGCACAGCAUUUUGACGUUACCUACAGAAGAAGCACCGGCUAACUCUGUGCCAGCCGCCGCGGUAAGAC
rnacentral:rRNA from 1 species